rnacentral:rRNA from 1 species
AUUGAACGCUGGCGGCAGGCCUAACACAUGCAAGUCGAGCGGAUGAAGGGAGCUUGCUCCUGGAUUCAGCGGCGGACGGGUGAGUAAUGCCUAGGAAUCUGCCUGGUAGUGGGGGAUAACGUCCGGAAACGGGCGCUAAUACCGCAUACGUCCUGAGGGAGAAAGUGGGGGAGCUUCGGACCUCACGCUAUCAGAUGAGCCUAGGUCGGAUUAGCUAGUUGGUGGGGUAAAGGCUUACCAAGGCGACGAUCCGUAACUGGUCUGAGAGGAUGAUCAGUCACACUGGAGCUGAGACACGGUCCAGAGUACUACGGGAGGCAGCAGUGGGGAAUAUUGGACAAUGGGCGAAAGCAUGAUACAGCCAUGCCGAGUGUGUGAAGAAGGUCUUCGGAUUGUAAAGCACUUUAAGUUGGGAGGAAGGGCAGUAAGUUAAUACCUUGCUGUUUUGACGUUACCAACAGAAUAAGCACCGGCUAACUUCGUG